UACGUAGGGGGCUAGCGUUGUCCGGAAUCAUUGGGCGUAAAGAGCGUGUAGGCGGUCCGGUAAGUCCGCUGUGAAAGUCGGGGGCUCAACCCUCGAAUGCCGGUGGAUACUGUCGGGCUAGAGUGCGGAAGAGGCGAGUGGAAGUUCCUGGUGUAGCGGUGAAAUGCGCAGAUAUCAGGAGGAACACCGGUGGCGAAGGCGGGUCUCUGGGCCGCAACUGACGCUGAGGAGCGAAAGCAUGGGGAGCGAACAGGG
rnacentral:rRNA from 1 species